rnacentral:lncRNA from 1 species
CACUGGUACAGUUCUGUAAAGAAAUAGGAUUCAUAAUAACAAAUGCUUUCUUUAAGCUGCCACCUAAACGCCUGUAGCUAUACAUGGAAAUCUCCAGCUGACAACGAACAAAAUAUAGAGCAGCUGUGCCAUCUGAUCACAUCCUAUUGUUGUCUACGCUAAGGCUACAUUUAAAGAAGUAAGAUUAAGUUUGCAGUAGCGAAGGAAAUAAAUGACAGAAUAGCUUAA